CAGAGUAAUAAACCAUCUGAUUCAUCAAAAAUUUAUUGUCUGCCCCUCAAACCCAACACUGUUUACUACUGAAGUCUCUCUGUCUCUGCUUCUUGGGUUUGGUUUUUUUCUUCUAGCUCCUUCUCUCUUCUACACUUGAAGCGAAAAUCUUCGUGCAAAUCAACGAGGAAAACUCGCAGGUGGCCGGCGGGGACGAGGCAGAUGCAACCGGCACCUGGCGAAAGUGGAGGAGAAGUGACUCGCGGAGGUGGAGGACUCGGCCGGUUCUGCUCGGCCCCGGCGUCAUGGUUGGAAGCGCUGCUUGAGGACGAAGAAGAGGACCCCUUGAAGCCCACCCAGUGCCUCACCGACCUUCUUGCCGAUAACUGCGAGGGGCCCAGUUCGACGGCAGUGGGGUUCGGUUCGGAUACGACGGCGGAUCCAGCUGCGGCGUUUCUCAGACAGAACAGCUCUCCGGCCGACUUUGUCGGGAAUUCGAGUGAUGGGUCCGAAGGGUAUUUCUCCGGGUUCGGGAUUCCGACCAGCCUCGACUAUGUCGCGAACCCGAAUUUCAGUAAUGUUUCUUCUUCUUCGGCUAAUAAGCGGGUUAGGGAUGUGAAAAUGGAGGAAGGUGGAUUCGAGGAGUCAGGGACUCUGAGGGUUAGGGCAAAGCGAGGUUGUGCUACUCAUCCAAGGAGUAUUGCUGAAAGGGUCAGGAGGACUCGAAUUAGUGACCGGAUAAGGAAGCUUCAGGAGCUUGUACCCAACAUGGAUAAGGUUAGAGCUUCCAACUGGUGCACUUUCUGAACUGCAAUUUCUAUACAUAUCAAUACCAUAUAAUAGGACCAGUAAGCAAACUAAUACCGCAGAUAUGUUAGAUGAGGCAGUGGAGUAUGUGAAGUUUCUUCAGAAGCAGAUUCAGGAACUCUCAGAGCAUCAACGCAGGUGCAAAUGCAUCGCUAAAGAAUAACUAGAGGUACCUCAGAAUGCCACCUACUGUUUAGUGUAAUUAUUAGAUUUUUUUUAAAAUUUCAGCCAAGGUUUGUCAUGAUGGUGCUAUGUUGAUUAGAAUUACCCUGUAUUUUUGAGAUACUCUAUAUUCUAAGUUGCAUUCUUCUCCAAUAUAUAGAUGUAAGAAUGCCAUACCUAGAAUCAAUGAUUACGCACUUAGCCGCUUCCUUUUGAAAAAUUCUAUUAGUAUUUAUUUUGUUCCAUCAAAAAGGAACUGGAGUAUUGUUAUAGCUGUAAAAUUAUGCAACAGUUCUCAUAUUUUAACAUGCCUUCAAUCAAUUUUCCCAAUAUCUUAUUUCCA